UACGUAGGUGGCAAGCGUUGUCCGGAUUUACUGGGCGUAAAGAGCGCGCAGGCGGUCGUUCAAGUCGCGUGUGAAAGCCCCCGGCUCAACUGGGGAGGGUCACGCGAUACUGAUCGACUCGAAGGCAGGAGAGGGUAGUGGAAUUCCCGGUGUAGUGGUGAAAUGCGUAGAUAUCGGGAGGAACACCAGUGGCGAAGGCGACUACCUGGCCUGUUCUUGACGCUGAGGCGCGAAAGCUAGGGGGAGCAAACGGGG
rnacentral:rRNA from 1 species